rnacentral:rRNA from 1 species
CCUACGGGUGGCAGCAGUGAGGAAUAUUGGUCAAUGGACGAGAGUCUGAACCAGCCAAGUAGCGUGAAGGAUGACUGCCCUAUGGGUUGUAAACUUCUUUUAUAAAGGAAUAAAACGAGGCACGUGUGCCUUUUUGCAUGUACUUUAUGAAUAAGGAUCGGCUAACUCCGUGCCAGCAGCCGCGGUAAUACGGAGGAUCCGAGCGUUAUCCGGAUUUAUUGGGUUUAAAGGGAGCGUAGAUGGGUUGUUAAGUCAGUUGUGAAAGUUUGCGGCUCAACCGUAAAAUUGCAAUUGAUACUGGCAGUCGUGAGUACAGUUGAGGUAGGCGGAAUUCGUGGUGGAGCGGUGAAAUGCUUAGAUAUCACGAAGAACCCCGAUUGCGAAGGCAGCUUACUAAACUGUGACUGACAUUGAUGCUCGAAAGUGUGGGUAUCAAACAGGAUUAGAUACCCUGGUAGUC